UUUUGCAUAGAUAAAGGGUAGCUAUGCCACAUACUUACACUUCAGUGUCAGCUUUUUGCCUGGAUAGAGUAACUCUGGAAUCUCUUGAUGCUUUAAAUAAGACUUUCAGGUUAUGCUUAACUACAUUUACCUUCACAUUUUCUGGCCCUAUAGUGACUGUUAUUAGCACCAGGCCUCCAACAAUUUCCAUAAAUGCUCUAAAUUCCAUUUGAAUCAAUAAAACCAGGCCCAUUACUGUAUUUUUACAUAGUAGUGUGUUUACAGGAUUAGAACAUUAAAGUGUUUCUCAAUCACUCUUAAGAGAGAAAAUUAAAAUGGUGUUCUUUUUAAUAGCUUCCUAAUUAAUUCGGUCAUCUGCUUAUUUAUGGUAGUUUACAGCAGGCACAAGUAAAAAGUGGUGGGUGUUUCAGCUCCUUCUUUAACAUAGUUGCUGAUUAAGAAAAUUAGUAAAAGUCAAACACUUCUACAGGCCUCUUAAUGCCUACUUGGGUUUGGAAAUCCUUUAUUUCAGCUGAAAAAGACUCAGAAGAACCUAGCUGAGCACCUCGAUAGAACAUGCAAGGCUGGCAGCUAGAUUGAAGCCAUGUGCCGGUAUUUUACAUGUUCUUUUUAAACCUCCUUCUAGCACAGAUGCUCAGUGCAGAAGAAGUAAACAAACAGUCUUCUGAUGAGCCUGAUUCUGACUCUAAAUUUGAGGUUGAACCACCAGAGGAAGAAAACCAGAAUGACACAUCUAGUACAGAAAUGGAAGAGGAGGUGCAAUCAUCUGUGGGAAAGCUGAGGCCUAAGCCUGCUUAUCUGAGUUCAGAUCCAGAAAACCAAAAGCCAAGUCUUUUUGCUAUGAUCCCAGACAUCUGGUUUCGGAGCCAGAAGAUAAGAUAUUCCCAUAUUGAGAAGAGUGAUUUCUGUAACACCAUGAUGAAGGGUCUCAGAAGGGAAAGCUGGCCUGUGCCUCCACUGUCACUAUUCACAGUCCUAUCUCCUCAUUUACAUUGCUGGGAUUUUUGAAUUGCAGCAACUGAGCUGUUGUGUACCAUGCUUUCUUCUCUCACCUGGAACUUUGUCUGCCAGUUGCUACAGAUCUCUAAUGUCCUGCCAUCCUCUCUGAUUAUCUACAUGGCUCAGCUGUUUGUUUUGCUGGGUGGAAGACUUGUGGAAACUCUGGGCUCCCUGAGGCUGAAGAGCAGACGGCUGUGGGCUUCAGUCUUGGAGAGGAAACUGGAGUGCAGUGAUGAAGGUCAGAGAACCGCCUCUGCACAGUAUUGACUGGCUAAAUAUUAAAUGGAUGACAGCAUCCAGUCUCUUGUGCAGUGCUUGGGUGCGUGCUCUGCUCCUCUCCCACCUCACAGAAAGAUGAGUUCCUCCUUUGUAAGGACCGGUAAUACUCUCACCACUACUAACCUUCGAUUUCAGACAAGAUCAAGGCAAGCGCUCUCACUAGCAGCUUUUACCGGAGCUUACAUGCAGUACAGCUCAGUGAUUACUCAUGCUGCAGUUAACACUUUUCUGAUCUCCAACUUGUCAGUUCUCAAAGUAGGAAACAAAUUUUCAAGGCUCAGGUUUAAGAAAUGAAGCAAGUCUACUUCCAAUUAAGCCCUUCGCAGGUCCUGAGCGUGCAUUUCUUCUGUUUCUGUUCAGGAUGGGCUUGGCUUUUCAGCACAGCUGGCAGGCUGAGGUGAGGUUAGAUUACCGCUUGGAGGCACUUGACAACAACUUGAUUUAACCAUUGGAGGGGUAACAGUGAGGUUGGUGGGACAAGGAUGAGCCGUGAUUUUGUGGCCUAAGGGUUUAUCCAGUCGUUGGGCUAUGAACAGAGCAGCUCUUUGCACACAUUCAACAAACUCUUUUUUUAAGGAGGACCUGAAUUAGGAGGUCACAUCCCAGAGAGCACAUUACCACUUGUGAAAAACACCUCUGCUCCCCUUGUGAAGCAGUGUCCCUCACAAGCGCUGCCUGUGCGAUGGUCACCGCCUGCACUGAUGAUGAAGCACGCCUUGGUUAUGUUUGCUUGUAUUUCCCUCCUCCUCCCCUGAAUUCCACAGGUCCAAAUACCCGUCCGGAGUUGUGUGCAUUAAAUAAAACUUGCUCGUCUGCA